rnacentral:rRNA from 1 species
UAGGGAAUCUUCCACAAUGGACGCAAGUCUGAUGGAGCAACGCCGCGUGAGUGAAGAAGGUCUUCGGAUCGUAAAACUCUGUUGUUAGGGAAGAACACGAGUGAGAGUAACUGUUCAUUCGAUGACGGUAUCUAACCAGCAAGUCACGGCUAACUACUUGCUAG